UACGGAGGGUGCAAGCGUUAUCCGGAUUCACUGGGUUUAAAGGGUGCGUAGGUGGGCAAGUAAGUCAGUGGUGAAAUCUCCGGGCUUAACCCGGAAACUGCCAUUGAUACUAUUUGUCUUGAAUACUGUGGAGGUCAGCGGAAUAUGUCAUGUAGCGGUGAAAUGCUUAGAUAUGACACAGAACACCAAUUGCGAAGGCAGCUGGCUACACAAAUAUUGACACUGAGGCACGAAAGCGUGGGGAUCAAAUAGG
rnacentral:rRNA from 1 species